GUCGACAAUUAAAUUUUCAAUUUGAGCAUUUCACCUCAGAAACUGGCAGGCCUUGAUUUAUUGCUUUGCUGAUUGGCUUGACAUGAGAAAAUGUUAAUGCUGUAGAUUAAACUUAAAAGUAAAUUCAACAUUUUCUUCUGGGGAACUGAUUGCUAAAUACUUACUAGUAUAUUCUUGUAUUGCUCCAGAAACAUUGCUUAAAGUCGGCAGGAAUGCAAUAGAAGCCUUAAGGAAUGAACUCAUCAGCAGGUUUGAGUCCUGGUGAUUGUAAGCUAACCGUAGUAGUAAUAAUAACAAUAUCAUAACUUGUAUUGACACCGAGUUUUAAGGUUUGCAAAAUGCUUUUUAUCUAUCAUCUCAUUUGAGCCUCACGACACUCCUGGAAAGAGCUGGAACGUUUGGGAUGGACCCUUCACAGGUUUCUUCAUAAAUCUGCUGCUGAACUUGAACUCCUUGCUGUGAACAGCCUGAUGAAGAAGCAGCUGAAAGAUGGAAAGCAGAGUCAUCCAAAUCCAGUGGCAAGACAAAAGUCAAGCUAGUGGACCAGUGAUAGCCCAAGGAUGAAGUGGAUGAUGUUAGCAUCUUCAAUGUCUAAUCAAGCUUAGGUGCUCCUCAGCACCUGCUUUAGCUGCUUUCAUGGCCAUUGGAACAAAUUGUUCUCAUCUGUCCAUUCUGCUGGGAGAAUUCUUCACAUGCUUGGGGUAGACAUCCCCCUAAUUCAGCGAAGGAAGACUGCCAUCUGAGAUCAUGCUUGGAGAUAGGCCCUGGCACCAUGGAUAGAGCACUGGGCUUAGAAUCAGGCCAGUUCCUGCCCCACCUCCUUCAUAAAGUCUUCUGUGACGGAGGCCAAUGAAGGAUAUGCUUUCCUUUAUGAUGGAUUCUCUGCAGAAUCAAAUGAAAGGUUUUUGAAAGCUUCCUUUAAACUUAAAAGAGCACUAUCAGGUAUGGUUAUUAUAUAUUUAUUAUUAUUAUUAAAAUAUUGUAUCAUAGAUUUAGGCAGCUAGGUGGCAGAGAGGAUAGAGGGCUAUCUGGACCUAGAAUGAGAAGGACCUGAAUUCAAAUCUGACCUCAGGCCUCAGACAUUUAUUAGAUGAGUGACCCUGGGCUAAAGUCAGUUCAUCUUGUUUAACUCAGUUUCCUCAUCUGUAAAGUGAGCUGGAGAAGAAAAUGCAAAAUACUUCAGCAUCUUUGCUAAGAAAACUCCAAAUGAAGUUGUGAAAAGUUGAACAUAACUGAAAAUGAACAACAACAAAUCAGGGAUUUAGAGUUGAAUGGGACUUUAGAGUUCAUCUAAUCCAGCCCCUUCAUUUUGCAAGUAGCACCCCCUCUGGGAUCAUUCUCUGAACCCCUACUCCUACUAGCUCCAUCCCUAGGGGUGGCUGACUACGCUUUCCCACAUUCUAGGGGCUAACCUAGUAGUGUGCUGGCAAAUAUUUAACAAUUAGCUUACAGGAAAUAAAUGUAUAGGUGACACCA
rnacentral:lncRNA from 1 species